AAAUUUAAAAAUCACUUUGAGUCAAUUAAGUAUUGAGGUAAAAAUAAAAGCAAAUUCAUUCAUCCAAGCAACACUUAAGGAGCAUCUAUAUGUACAAUACAAUCUGCUGGAUGCUAGGGGGUACAAUGAUGAAUAAAAUAUAUAUUCAAAAAGCAAAAUUCUUGAAAAAUACCUGUAAAGUGUCAUCCUUUUGUUCUCUAAGCAAAAAAAAAAAAAAAAAAAAAGGGAAACUGUACAGUAGAUAACCUGAAGGAUAGAGAAGAAAUAAGGGAAAGAAGAGAGAAAGCAAGGAGGGAGAUAGAUCCUAGCAUGAGUUAUCUAUCAUGUCUAAAGACUCAAUUUUCUAGUUAACUGAAGUCUAAGGAUUAGCAAAAAUUUGUUUUUUCCUGUGAAAUUACAUAAGAAAAGAAUGAUUGUUAGGUUCUUGACACUACUACUAUGCUCAACUGUUUUUAUAUAUGCAGCACCUUACCAAGUAUAAAUCUUAAACAUAGUAUAGUAACAUGAUUAUUAACCUAAGCGCUAACAUAUUUUGAAAGAGGGUUCCUAAAUUAUAAAGCUUAAAAUGUUUCUGAUGAUAUAGCUAAACUUCACAGAGUUAGAAAAAAAAUACAAUCCAGUUCAAUUUUACUAUUGAAGAAACAUAAGUCCAGAGUCAUAAGAUAAGACAAUGAAUUGGUUACAGUCAGAACCAGAACCUAAUUCACUUAACUCCUACGAACUUCUCAAACCUGGGGCAGGUUAUAAAGGAACAAACCUACUAUACUGGUCCUAUUAUCUCAGCGAUUCACUCCACCACUAAAGCUCAUUUCUGUUCCAGGUUUAACUACUGCUUAGUAUAAAUGAUGAGACCAUCUAUUAACACCAUUUUGGGAAUAUAGAGAGAAAGCCACAGCAUAACUGGGCCACAUUCCCAUGGGGUAGAGUCAGGGUUUCUACCAAGUACAGUCAUUCUUCACUGGCAAUCAUUCCAAGAAGGGUUAAAAAGCAGAACUUAGAUGGCAAGAAAGGGUGUUUUUUCAUCUGUCUAGGCCUGGCUUUCUUGGAUCUGGACUUCUUUAUUAAACAAACAGUUACUGACCAUCUUCUGUAUACCAUACACCAGUGUUCUAGGUACCUGAGAUACACUUGUUUAUUUAAAUAACCACAAAAACAAUGAAAAACAAAAACUGAUAGAGAAACCCUUCCCUUAUUAAACUUACAUUUUAGUUACAGGAGACAAACAAUAUAAUACAUAUAAGAAAUAAGGAAAUUAUAGGUUAUAUCAUACGUUAGAGGUGAUUAGAUACUACAGAAAAAAGAAUAAAGUAGAGCAGGAUAUGGACUGUAGUUACAUAAGGUGAUCAGGGCAGGCCUCACUGAGAAAGAAGGUAAAGUCUGAGUAAGACCUUGAAGGAGGGAGUUACUUAUGCAAAUAUCUGGGGCAAGAGAGUACAGCUGGGGCAAAGGCAAGGAAGCCAGUGUGGUAAAACCCAGUGAGACAGGAGCAGGGAAGAAGGACAGGAAGUCAGAAACGCAUCAGAGGCCAGAUAACGUAGGGCCUUGUAGGCCAUGGUGGGGACUUUGGUUUUUGUAAGUGAAAUUAAUUUACUCUUCAUGUUAAUUUCCUUUGUUAUCCAGGAGCCUUAGUCUUUCGUAAAUGCUUCAACCAUCCCUAUAUCCACCAUGAAGAAUAAACAAAAGUACGUCUCUGCUCGAGUCAGUGGUGGGCUAUUCCUGAAAUCAUGCUCCUGGAAAGCAUAGGAAGCACAAAUUUCUUCAAGACCCAGCAGCUCCUGUCCACAAGACAUCCUGUAUGACUAGGCAAACUGAAUAAACAUUACAAUACAUGGUAAGAGAGGCUUGAGCAUGUUUACGUACUAAAGGAAGAACAGAAGCGAAGCUCUGAAGACAGAAGAGAGAGAGAUUUUGUAUUUUUGAUGAUAAAAUUGGACAAUAAAUUUUUGGAUAAAAGUGUA